GGGUGAGUAACGCGUGAGUAACCUGCCUUACACAAGGGGAUAGCCGUUGGAAACGACGAAUAAUACCCUAUGAAACUAUCACUUCACAUGAAGCGAUAGUCAAAGUGUUAGCGGUGUAAGAUGGACUUGCGUCUGAUUAGCUAGUUGGUGAGAAAAAGCCCACCAAGGCAACGAUCAGCAGCCGGCUUGAGAGAGUGUACGGCCACAUUGGGACUGAGACACGGCCCAG
rnacentral:rRNA from 1 species